UUCGAAACUGGCAGGCUUGAGUCUUGUAGAGGGGGGUAGAAUUCCAGGUGUAGCGGUGAAAUGCGUAGAGAUCUGGAGGAAUACCGGUGGCGAAGGCGGCCCCCUGGACAAAGACUGACGCUCAGGUGCGAAAGCGUGGGGAGCAAACAGGAUUAGAUACCCUGGUAGUCCACGCCGUAAACGAUGUCUACUUGGAGGUUGUGCCCUUGAGGCGUGGCUUCCGGAGCUAACGCGUUAAGUAGACCGCCUGGGGAGUACGGCCGCAAGGUUAAAACUCAAAUGAAUUGACGGGGGCCCGCACAAGCGGUGGAGCAUGUGGUUUAAUUCGAUGCAACGCGAAGAACCUUAC
rnacentral:rRNA from 4 species